rnacentral:rRNA from 1 species
GGAAUCUUCCACAAUGGGCGAAAGCCUGAUGGAGCAACGCCGCGUGUGUGAUGAAGGGUUCCGGCUCGUAAAACACUGUUGUAAGAGAAGAAUGACAUUGAGAGUAACUGUUCAAUGUGUGACGGUAUCUUACCAGAAAGGAACGGCUAAAUACGUGCCAG